GAGAGCGAUGGGACAGACACACUGACACACUGAUACACACACUGGGAGCGCCCCUCACGUGAUGUCACGGGCAGGUGGGCUUGAAGUAAAAGCCACAGUAAUGUUCCAGAGUGAACAGAACAGCACGAAAAAGAUCAAUAAGGUCAAGAUUAAUGAGUGCCUUCAUUAGAUUCUGAUGUCGCUUCUGUCAAAAAGUGGUACAGCAAGGAUCAGAACAUAUUUCCUGUGCCAUGGCAGACCACCUUUAACAAGCCCCUGGACAGUUUGGCAGUGGAGGCUACACGUCCAAUCCAAA